rnacentral:rRNA from 1 species
UACGUAGGCAGCAAGCGUUGUUCGGAGUUACUGGGCGUAAAGGGUGCGCAGGCGGCUCCGCAUGUCGGGCGUGAAAUCCCCGGGCUUAACCUGGGAAUUGCGUCCGAAACUAUGGAGCUGGAGUGUGGCAGAGGGAGGUGGAAUUCCACGUGUAGCGGUGAAAUGCGUAGAGAUGUGGAGGAACACCGAUGGCGAAGGCAGCCUCCUGGGCCAACACUGACGCUCAUGCACGAAAGCGUGGGGAGCAAACAGG